AUUAAAACACAAAUCUUCUUCUUCAAAAAAACGUCACUCUCUCUCUCCAACACCAAAACCACCAUGAAAGCUCAUUUUUGAGCUUGAAGAACCAAAAUCCAACCAUGGCCAAUUGUCCUACCAUAACUAGAUGUUGUUUGGACAACUAGGAAAGAGGAUUCAAAGAAAAGAAAGAAGAAAAAUUUGAAGAAAAGGGAGAAGAAAUUCUGCACACAAGUUGAAAAGAAUAUCAGGAAGGAACCCGAGGAAACGAGUCGAGGCUAAGGGACGACUCGCUUGAGAUAAAAGCAAGGAGAAAGCAGCAGAGUGAGCUGCGGAAUUGACAAGAUCUUUUUGAUCCCUUUU